ensembl:lncRNA
GGUAUUUUGCCCCCGGUGAUGCGUUGUGCAGACCUCACUACCCUCUGGAGAGCCUUACGGUUGUGGGCGGAGCAGUUGCCAUACCAGGCGGUGAUACAGCCCGAAAGGAUGCUCUCGAUUGUGCAUUUGUAAAAGUUUGUGAGUGUUUAUGGUGACAGGCGCUGUUGCUCCUUCUUCACCACACUAUCUAUGUGGGUGGACCAUUUCAGUUUGUCUGUGAUGUGUACGCCGAGGAACUUAAACAACUUUCCACCUUCUCCACUACUGUCCCAUCGUCAAUGUGGAUGGGUUGUGCUCCCUCUGCUGUUUCCUGAAGUUUCCAGUGUGAUUACACUUGCGUCGUCUGUGGACCUAUUGGGGCGAUCAGGCAACAGUUGAACCAAGCAACAUGUAUUUGAGCAAUGCCCUGGCCAUGUUACUUGUUAAACACUUCAACCAGAGGUUGGACUAUACAUCAGCUGAGGCCGGUGGUUCCUGGUCCCCUGGCGGAUGCCAUCCCCACGACACCCCUCCGGAGGCUUCCUUUAACCUCAAUUCAGAGGCCAGGUCUUAAAUAACGGGACCAGACCCGCUCGUGCAUGAUUUUUGGCGUACGACCUUCAGAUGGCAGAGACGGGUAUUUAGAUCCGGCUCGAAGGACCAAUUGUUACAGGGAUUAAAUUCCUAUAUGUUUUAAUACCCAAUUAAAAUUAAACACUCUGUCAAUUCCUA